rnacentral:rRNA from 1 species
AUGGAGAUGGAGGGGUUUGUUAAGACAGUUUUCUGCAACCAAUUCAACGGCACACCCACUCUAGGCAAAUCAGCUGCUACUACCGUGAUGUACAGCUACGGUGCGAGGAAAGAAUCCUACCUGGCCAAGAUCAGGCACUCCCGGAGGUCGUCGUCCAGCAGCCUAGGGAAGCUAUAUGUGGCCGUCGGGAAGGAUGAAGAGGACGGUCAGUCCAACCUCCUGUGGGCAGCUCGGAACCUCCUCGCCGGCGGCGACAAGCUGGUCCUGCUACACGUUCACCAGCCCGCCGACAGAAUCAUGAUCGCUCCAGAGAAAGAACUCAGGGCAUACAGGUUGUCUGAGAAGGAGGAGAUGAACACACUUUUAGACCAGUACCUCGAUUUCUGCAUUUCUUCUCUCCAGAUGCAAGCUGAAGCGACGGUGAUCGAGAGUAACAGCCCUACGAAUGGCAUCGUCAAGCUCAUCGAUCAGAGUCACAUCACAAACUUUGUCAUGGGAACAUCUUCCUUCUCACCGUAUGUCCAGACCAAAUACAGCUUCAUAACGAGGAAGAGGAAAGUGCCGAAAUCAAAAGUCGCAGCCAUCGUGCAUCUACAGGCCAAACCAUAUUGCCGGAUCUUCUAUGUUUGCAACGAGACUCUUGCUUGCUCCAGGCUAAUAAUAAGAUAUGAACAUCAGAGAUAAACUGGUGUGCAACAUGAUGUGAUUGAGCAACUGCGCCGAGUCCGCAAUGAGCUGGAGGGCUCAAAAAAAGAAGCAUCCGAGGGCCAGCAGAAAGGCGAGAGGAAUAUGUUUGAAGCUUCUAUGAUGUUCAUGGCACGGGAGAAUGCACUCCGCAAAGAAAAAACGGAGGUAGAGGAGAGACUGGGCAGAGAAAAGACUGGACUCCGGAAGGAGCACCUCCAAAUAUGCAACGAGCUGCACAAGGCAAAUGAGAAAAGAGCGGAGCUGGAGGAGAUGCUUCUCCAGAAAAAUUACCUAGUGGCAGAGCUCGAGCAGUCGCAAGGAGAGCUGCAACGCGAGAAAGACCAUGUCACAAAGCAAGUUGAGCAGAUGUGCCAAGCAAACAGUAGCAGCGUCUUUGUAUUUGGCUCUGCCUCUACCACUACUACUAGUGCCAUUCCAUUAACAAAGUUCAGCCACAUGGAGAUAAAAGAAGCGACAGCCAACUUUGAUGACUCCGAAAAGAUCGGGCAAGGUGGGUGUGGAACCGUCUACAAGGGAUUUCUCCGUCAUACUACCGUAGCCGUAAAGAGAUUGAACCGUGAAGGCACAACAGGAGAUAAAGAGUUCAAUGACGAGGUAGAAACACUUUGUAAGAUGAGGCAUCCGAACCUUGUCACCCUGAUAGGAGUGUGCAGGGAGGCCAACGUGCUGGUCUUCGAGUUCUUGUCAAAUGGAAGCCUAGAGGACUGCUUGCAGCACGACCACCAAAGAGAGGCGCUCUCAUGGCGAAUGCGCGUGAGAAUUGCUGCCGAGAUCUGCACGGGACUUAUCUUUCUCCACUCCAACAGACCAAAAGGCAUUGCACAUGGUGAUCUCAAGCCCGACAAUGUCCUUCUCGACGCCAGCUUUGGCUGCAAACUGGCAGACUUUGGGAUCUCCCGUCCCUUGAAUGUGACAAACACAACAAUCACCCCUUACCACCGAACAAAUCAACUCAAAGGCACAAUGGGAUACAUGGACCCGGCAUACAUUGCCUCAGGGGAGCUCAAAGCACAGUAUGACGUCUACCCCUUUGGGGUGGUGCUUAUGCGGCUGAUAACUAAUAAGAGCCCCCUAGGCCUUCCUCAUGCCGUGGAGGCAGCCCUAAGAACUAACAAGUUGUCGGAUAUAGUUGAUACUUCUGCAGGGGAAUGA